rnacentral:rRNA from 1 species
UACGAAGGGUGCAAGCGUUACUCGGAAUUACUGGGCGUAAAGCGUGCGUAGGCGGUGUGUUAAGUCUGUCGUGAAAGCCCCGGGCUCAACCUGGGAAUGGCGAUGGAUACUGGCUCGCUAGAGUGCGGUAGAGGAGAGUGGAAUUCCCGGUGUAGCAGUGAAAUGCGUAGAGAUCGGGAGGAACAUCAGUUGCGAAGGCGGCUCUCUGGACCAGCACUGACACUGAGGCGCGAAAGCGUGGGGAGCAAACAGG